GACGAACGCUGGCGGCGUGCUUAACACAUGCAAGUCGAACGAUGACGACCGAGCUUGCUCGGUCUGAUUAGUGGCGAACGGGUGAGUAACACGUGAGCAACCUGCCCUUCACUCUGGGAUAACCUCGGGAAAUCGGGGCUAAUACCGGAUAUGAGCUCCUGUCCCAUGGGGGGGGUGGGAAAGUUUUUCGGUGAAGGAUGGGCUCGCGGCCUAUCAGUUUGUUGGUGAGGUAGUGGCUCACCAAGGCGAUGACGGGUAGCCGGCCUGAGAGGGCGACCGGCCACGCUGGGACUGAGACACGGCCCAGACUCCUACGGGAGGCAGCAGUGGGGAAUAUUGCACAAUGGGCGAAAGCCUGAUGCAGCGACGCCGCGUGAGGGAUGACGGCCUUCGGGUUGUAAACCUCUUUCAGCAGGGAAGAAGCGAAAGUGACGGUACCUGCAGAAGAAGCGCCGGCUAACUACGUG
rnacentral:rRNA from 1 species